GGAUUAGGCAUGCAAGUCGAACGAGGAUAUAUCCUUCGGGAUAUAAGCCGAGUGGCGCAAGGGUGAGUAAUGCAUAGAUUACCUGCCUCUAGGAUAAGGACAACUUUGUGAAAACGGAGCUAAUACUUAAUAAUACAGAAGAAAAUAAUUAUCUUUUGUCAAAAGGAGGGUAGCAAUACCUUUUGCCUAGAGAGGGGUUUAUGUCCUAUCAGCUUGUUGGUGGGGUAAUGGCCUACCAAGGCACAGACGGGUAGCCGGCCUUAGAGGGUGGUCGGCCACACUGGGACUGAGACACUGCCCAGACUUCUACGGAAGGCUGCAGUCGAGAAUCUUUCGCAAUGCCCGAAAGG
rnacentral:rRNA from 1 species